CGGGGCCGUAACACUGUCUGAGAGGUUUACAUUUCUCACAGUGAACCGGUCUCUUU
rnacentral:pre_miRNA from 2 species